rnacentral:rRNA from 1 species
CGAGGGGCAGCGGUGGUGAAGGCUUGCCUUUACCAGCCGGCGACCGGCGCACGGGUGAGUAACACGUAUGCAACCUGCCUGCCACAGCCGGAUAAUCGGGAGAAAUUCCGUCUAAUACGGCAUAAUGCAUCGACGGGACAUCCUGUUGGUGCCAAAGGUUGAUUCCGGUGGCGGAUGGGCAUGCGUCGCAUUAGUUAGUUGGCGGUGUAACGGACCACCAAGACGACGAUGCGUAGGGGUUCUGAGAGGAAGGUCCCCCACACUGGUACUGAGACACGGACCAGACUCCUACGGGAGGCAGCAGUGAGGAAUAUUGGUCAAUGGGCGGGAGCCUGAACCAGCCAAGUCGCGUGAGGGAUGACGGCCCUAUGGGUUGUAAACCUCUUUUGCCGGGGAGCAAAGUGCCGCACGUGUGCGGUUUGGAAAAUACCCGGAGAAAAAGCAUCGGCUAACUCCAAGCCAGCAGCCGCGGUAAUACGGAGGAUGCGAGCGUUAUCCGGAUUUAUUGGGUUUAAAGGGUGCGUAGGCGGACGCUUAAGUCAGCGGUAAAAUUGCGGGGCUCAACCUCGUCGAGCCGUUGAAACUGGGUGCCUUGAGUGGGCGAGAAGUACGCGGAAUGCGUGGUGUAGCGGUGAAAUGCAUAGA